rnacentral:rRNA from 1 species
UACGUAGGGUGCGAGCGUUGUCCGGAAUUAUUGGGCGUAAAGGGCUCGUAGGCGGUUUGUCGCGUCGGGAGUGAAAACCCAGGGCUUAACUCUGGGCUUGCUUUCGAUACGGGCAGACUAGAGGUAUGCAGGGGAGAACGGAAUUCCUGGUGUAGCGGUGAAAUGCGCAGAUAUCAGGAAGAACACCAAUGGCGAAAGCAGCUCUCUGGGACGGUACUGACGCUGAGGCGCGAAAGCGUGGGGAGCGAACAGG